AGAGUUGAUCAUGGCUCAGGGCGAACGCUAGCGGCGCGCCUAACACAUGCAAGUCGUGCGGGAAGGGCUUCGGCCCUAGUACCGCGGCAGACGGGUGAGUAACACGUGAGUAACCUGUCCUCGGUCUGGGAUAACCAUCCGAAAGGGUGGCUAAUACCGGAUAAAGUCACUGGGCGUAAGCCAGUGAUGAAAGGGGGCUUCUGCAUAGCAAGCUCCUGCCUGAGGAGGGGCUCGCGGCCUUCAGCUAGUUAGUGGGGUAAUGGCCCACCAAGGCGAUGACGGGUAGCCGGCCUGAGAGGUGGUCGGCCACACGGGCACUGAGACACGGGCCCGACUCCUACGGGAGGCAGCAGUGGGGAUCUUGGGCAAUGGGCGAAAGCCUGACCCAGCGACGCCGCGUGGGGGAAGAAGGCCUUCGGUCGUAAACCCCUGUUCUGAGGGAAGAAUCUGGCUAUGAUGAAUAAUCAUAGCCAGUUACGGUACCUCAGGAGAAAGCCACGGCUAACUGCGUGCCAGCAGCCGCGGUAAUACGCAGUGGCAAGCGUUGCCCGGAAUCACUGGGCGUAAAGGGUGCGUAGGCGGCAGGGUAAGUCAAGGUUAAAGCCCGGGGCUCAACCCCGGAAAUGCCUGUGAUACUGCCUUGCUUGAGGACUGAGAGGCUGGCGGAAUUCCCGGUGUAGGGGUGAAAUCCGGAGAUAUCGGGAGGAACACCGUGGGGAAGCCGGCCAGCUGGACAGUCCCUGACGCUGAGGCACGAAAGCGUGGGGAGCAACCGGAUUAGAUACCCGGGUAGUCCACGCCGUAAACGAUGGGUGCUAGGUCUGGGGAGGAAACUCUCUGG
rnacentral:rRNA from 1 species